UACGUAGGGUGCAAGCGUUUAAUCGGAAUUACUGGGCGUAAAGCGUGCGCAGGCGGCUUUGCAAGACAGAUGUGAAAUCCCCGGGCUCAACCUGGGAACUGCAUUUGUGACUGCAUGGCUAGAGUACGGUAGAGGGGGAUGGAAUUCCGCGUGUAGCAGUGAAAUGCGUAGAUAUGCGGAGGAACACCGAUGGCGAAGGCAAUCCCCUGGACCUGUACUG
rnacentral:rRNA from 1 species